rnacentral:rRNA from 1 species
AGAGUUUGAUCCUGGCUCAGGAUGAACGCUAGCGGCAGGCUUAAUACAUGCAAGUCGAGGGGCAGCAGGAGUGUAGCAAUACACUUGCUGGCGACCGGCAAACGGGUGCGGAACACGUACGCAAUCUACCCAUAACUGAGGAAUAGCCCUCCGAAAGGAGGAUUAAUACCUCGUAACCUUUGAAGGUGGCAUCACCUUUUUAGUAUAGCUCCGGCGGUUUUGGAUGAGCGUGCGGCUGAUUAGGUAGUUGGCGGGGUAACGGCCCACCAAGCCUGCGAUCAGUAACUGGUGUGAGAGCACGACCAGUCACACGGGCACUGAGACACGGGCCCGACUCCUACGGGAGGCAGCAGUAAGGAAUAUUGGUCAAUGGACGCAAGUCUGAACCAGCCAUGCCGCGUGAAGGAUGAAGGUCCUCUGGAUUGUAAACUUCUUUUAUAGGGGACGAAACCCGGGUAUUCUUACCCGAUUGACGGUACCCUAGGAAUAAGCACCGGCUAACUCCGUGCCAGCAGCCGCGGUAAUACGGAGGGUGCAAGCGUUAUCCGGAUUCACUGGGUUUAAAGGGUGCGUAGGAGGGCAGGUAAGUCAGUGGUGAAAUCUCCGGGCUCAACUCGGAAACUGCCGUUGAUACUAUCUGUCUUGAAUGCCGUGGAGAUGAGCGGAAUAUGUCAUGUAGCGGUGAAAUGCUUAGAUAUGACAUAGAACACCAAUUGCGAAGGCAGCUCGUUACACGAACAUUGACUCUGAGGCACGAAAGCGUGGGGAUCAAACAGGAUUAGAUACCCCUGUAGUCC